AACGCUGGCGGCAUGCCUUACACAUGCAAGUCGAACGGUAACGCGGGGCAACCUGGCGACGAGUGGCGAACGGGUGAGUAAUGUAUCGGAACGUGCCCAGUUGUGGGGGAUAACUGCUCGAAAGAGCAGCUAAUACCGCAUACGACCUGAGGGUGAAAGCGGGGGAUCGCAAGACCUCGCGCAAUUGGAGCGGCCGAUAUCAGAUUAGGUAGUUGGUGGGGUAAAGGCUCACCAAGCCGACGAUCUGUAGCUGGUCUGAGAGGACGACCAGCCACACUGGGACUGAGACACGGCCCAGACUCCUACGGGAGGCAGCAGUGGGGAAUUUUGGACAAUGGGCGCAAGCCUGAUCCAGCCAUGCCGCGUGCGGGAAGAAGGCCUUCGGGUUGUAAACCGCUUUUGUCAGGGAAGAAAAGGCUCCUGUUAAUACCGGGGGCUCAUGACGGUACCUGAAGAAUAAGCACCGGCUAACUACGUGCCAGCAGCCGCGGUAAUACGUAGGGUGCAAGCGUUAAUCGGAAUUACUGGGCGUAAAGCGUG
rnacentral:rRNA from 1 species